AGAGUUUGAUCAUGGCUCAGAUUGAACGCUGGCGGCAGGCCUAACACAUGCAAGUCGAGCGGAAACGAGUUAUCUGAACCUUCGGGGAACGAUAGCGGCGUCGAGCGGCGGACGGGUGAGUAAUGCCUAGGAAAUUGCCCUGAUGUGGGGGAUAACUAUUGGAAACGAUGGCUAAUACCGCAUGAUGCCUACGGGCCAAAGAGGGGGACCUUCGGGCCUCUCGCGUCAGGAUAUGCCUAGGUGGGAUUAGCUAGUUGGUGAGGUAAGGGCUCACCAAGGCGACGAUCCCUAGCUGGUCUGAGAGGAUGAUCAGCCACACUGGAACUGAGACACGGUCCAGACUCCUACGGGAGGCAGCAGUGGGGAAUAUUGCACAAUGGGCGCAAGCCUGAUGCAGCCAUGCCGCGUGUGUGAAGAAGCCUUCGGGUGUAAAGCACUUUCAGUCGUGAGGAAGGUAGUGUAGUUAAUAGCUGCAUUAUUUGACGUUAGCGACAGAAGAAGCACCGGCUAACUCCGUGCCAGCAGCCGCGGUAAUACGGAGGGUGCGAGCGUUAAUCGGAAUUACUGGGCGUAAAGCGCAUGCAGGUGGUUUGUUAAGUCAGAUGUGAAAGCCCGGGGCUCAACCUCGGAAUUGCAUUUGAAACUGGCAGACUAGAGUACUGUAGAGGGGGGUAGAAUUUCAGGUGUAGCGGUGAAAUGCGUAGAGAUCUGAAGGAAUACCGGUGGCGAAGGCGGCCCCCUGGACAGAUACUGACACUCAGAUGCGAAAGCGUGGGGAGCAAACAGGAUUAGAUACCCUGGUAGUCCACGCCGUAAACGAUGUCUACUUGGAGGUUGUGGCCUUGAGCCGUGGCUUUCGGAGCUAACGCGUUAAGUAGACCGCCUGGGGAGUACGGUCGCAAGAUUAAAACUCAAAUGAAUUGACGGGGGCCCGCACAAGCGGUGGAGCAUGUGGUUUAAUUCGAUGCAACGCGAAGAACCUUACCUACUCUUGACAUCCAGAGAACUUUCCAGAGAUGGAUUGGUGCCUUCGGGAACUCUGAGACAGGUGCUGCAUGGCUGUCGUCAGCUCGUGUUGUGAAAUGUUGGGUUAAGUCCCGCAACGAGCGCAACCCUUAUCCUUGUUUGCCAGCGAGUAAUGUCGGGAACUCCAGGGAGACUGCCGGUGAUAAACCGGAGGAAGGUGGGGACGACGUCAAGUCAUCAUGGCCCUUACGAGUAGGGCUACACACGUGCUACAAUGGCGCAUACAGAGGGCAGCCAACUUGCGAAAGUGAGCGAAUCCCAAAAAGUGCGUCGUAGUCCGGAUUGGAGUCUGCAACUCGACUCCAUGAAGUCGGAAUCGCUAGUAAUCGUGGAUCAGAAUGCCACGGUGAAUACGUUCCCGGGCCUUGUACACACCGCCCGUCACACCAUGGGAGUGGGCUGCAAAAGAAGUAGGUAGUUUAACCUUCGGGGGGACGCUUACCACUUUGUGGUUCAUGACUGGGGUGAAGUCGUAACAAGGUAGCGCUAGGGGAACCUGGCGCUGGAUCACCUCCUU
rnacentral:rRNA from 1 species